rnacentral:rRNA from 1 species
UACGUAGGGUGCAAGCGUUAAUCGGAAUUACUGGGCGUAAAGCGUGCGCAGGCGGUUUUGUAAGUCUGUUGUGAAAUCCCUGGGCUUAACCUGGGAAUGGCAAUGGAGACUGCAAGGCUAGAGUUUGGCAGAGGGGGGUAGAAUUCCACGUGUAGCAGUGAAAUGCGUAGAGAUGUGGAGGAACACCGAUGGCGAAGGCAGCCCCCUGGGUCAAGACUGACGCUCAUGCACGAAAGCGUGGGGAGCAAACAGG